ensembl:lncRNA
GUGCUGAUUUAGACUGUUCCAUAGUGAUGAUGGUCAAUGCCUGAUGAAUCUGUUAGUUCAAGACCUUCUCCAAAGUACUUCUGCAAAGACAAAAGAGCAAUACCAGUUGUGGAUUGAGCAAACGUUUCUUUAGUGUAGCGGUGGUAUCACGUUCGCCUAACAUAGGAAAGGUCCCCAGUUUGAAACUGGGCGGAAACACUGUCCAUUUGUCCUGCCUUCUCUGCAGCGGUGGAUCUUCUUGCAACUGGUCAAUAAAAGGACAGCUCUUCCAGGCUGCGCAUAAGGCCACUAAUGAAGCCAACCGAUUGGCAUCAUCUGAGAGAUGUCCUCCUGCAUGCAUUCGUUUGAUUCAGCACUUCUUUGACAACAUUGUCACACUUUUGCUAAGUGACAGAAGUGUGACAAUCUGGAGUCAUGCUUUUAGCAACAGUCUGUUCAGGACCUGUAGUUUCAGUAGUAAAAUAGUGUUAAUCAGCAUGAGUUGUGUUGCAUAGGACAGGAGAAGCCAAGGAGAGUGAACAGUUUGUAGUUGCCUUUUGAAAAGAAGCUCCCCGUCAGGGAAUCGAACCCUGGUCUUCUGCGUGACAAGCAGAGAUACUGUCCACUAUACUAACGAGGAGUGCAUCUGAAAAUUGUCUGGCAGCCUCAACUUCGGUCUUAAGAGGAAGUAUGCACUUGAACUGUGUCCAUUUGGGCGGAUACUCACUCCAGGCCGAGUUUGUUCUAUCCUCCACUCCCUGGCUGAAAACCACGACCUCAUACAUGCAGGUGCUUAUUUAGACUGUUCCAUAGUGACGAUGGUCAAUGCCUGAUGAAUCUGUUAGUUCAAGACCUUCUCCAAAGUACUUCUGCAAAGACAAAAGGGCAAUACCAGUGGUGGAUUGAGCCGAAGUUUCUUUAGUGUCGCCGUGGUAUCACGAUCGCCUAACAUAGGAAAGGUCCAUAGUUUGAAACUGGGCGGAAACACUGUCCAUUUGUCCUGCCUUCUCUGCAGCGGGUAAUCUUCUUGCAACUGGUCAAUAAAAAACAGCUCUUCCAGGCUGCGCAUAAGGCCACUGAUGAAGCCAACCGAUUGGCAUCAUCUGAGAGAUGUCCUCCUGCAUGCAUUCGUUUGAUUCAGCACUUCUUUGACAACAUUGUCACAGUUUCGCUAAGUGAUAGAAGUGUGACAAUCUGGAGUCUUGCUUUUAGCAACAGUCUGUUCAGGACCUGUAGUUUCAGUAGUAAAAUAGUGUUAAUCAGCAUGAGUUGUGUUGCAUAGGACAGGAGAAGCCAAGGAGAGUGAAAAGUUUGUAGUUGCCUUUUGAAAAGAAGCUCCCCGUCAGGGAAUCGAACCCUGGUCUUCUGCGUGACAAGCAGAGAUACUGUCCACUAUACUAACGAGGAGUGUAUCUGAAAAUUGUCUGGCAGCCUCAACUUCGGUCUUAAGAGGAAGUAUGCACUUGAACUGUGUCCAUUUGGGCGGAUACUCACUCCAGGCCGAGUUUGUUCUAUCCUCCACUCCCUGGCUGAAAACCACAACCUCAUACAUGCAGGUGC